UGGGGAAUUUUGCACAAUGGGGGAAACCCUGAUGCAGCGACGCCGCGUGAUUUAGAAGGCCUUCGGGUUGUAAAAAUCUUUUCUAUGGGAAGAAAAUGACAGUACCAUAGGAAUAAGGACCGGCUAAUUACGUGCCAGCAGCCGCGGUAAUACGUAAGGUCCGAGCGUUGUCCGGAAUCAUUGGGCGUAAAGGGUACGUAGGCGGGUAAGCAAGUUAGAAGUGAAAUCCUAUAGCUCAACUAUAGUAAGCUUUUAAAACUGCUCAUCUUGAGGUAUGGAAGGGAAAGUGGAAUUCCUAGUGUAGCGGUGAAAUGCGCAGAUAUUAGGAGGAAUACCGGUGGCGAAGGUGACUUUCUGGCCAUAACCUGACGCUGAGGUACGAAAGCGUGGGUAGCAAACAGG
rnacentral:rRNA from 1 species